rnacentral:lncRNA from 1 species
CACUUAUGCCAAUUUAGUCAAGAGUUCGGCGGAAUACCAUCUGGUCAGGUAAAAGCAUUAUUAUUUGUGAAGCAGGUCACUGACCAAGGUCAAAAU